rnacentral:rRNA from 1 species
UACGAAGGGGGCUAGCGUUGCUCGGAAUCACUGGGCGUAAAGGGUGCGUAGGCGGGUUUUUAAGUCAGGGGUGAAAUCCUGGAGCUCAACUCCAGAACUGCCUUUGAUACUGGAGAUCUUGAGUCCGGAAGAGGUAAGUGGAACUGCGAGUGUAGAGGUGAAAUUCGUAGAUAUUCGCAAGAACACCAGUGGCGAAGGCGGCUUACUGGUCCGGAACUGACGCUGAGGUGCGAAAGCGUGGGGAGCAAACAGG